GAUCAGUGGCUCAGGACGAACGCUGGCGGCGUGCCUAACACAUGCAAGUCGAGCGGAGAUGAUGUGAGGAAGUUUUCGGAUGGAAUCACAUUAUUUAGCGGCGGACGGGUGAGUAACGCGUGAGCGACCAACCUUGCACAGGGGGAUAACGGACCGAAAGGUUCACUAAUACCGCAUGAGACCACGGUGUUGCAUGACACAGGGGUCAAAGGAGCAAUCCGGUGCAAGACGGGCUCGCGUCCGAUUAGGUAGUUGGUGGGGUAAUGGCCCACCAAGCCUAUGAUCGGUAGCCGACCUGAGAGGGUGAUCGGCCACAUUGGAACUGAGAUACGGUCCAAACUCCUACGGGAGGCAGCAGUGGGGAAUAUUGGGCAAUGGGGGGAAACCCUGACCCAGCAACGCCGCGUGAAGGAAGAAGGUUUUCGGAUUGUAAACUUCUGUCCUUGGUGAAGAGAAGAAGACGGUAGCCAAGGAGGAAGCCCCGGCUAACUACGUGCCAGCCGCCGC
rnacentral:rRNA from 1 species